UACGUAGGGUGCGAGCGUUAAUCGGAAUUACUGGGCGUAAAGCGUGCGCAGGCGGUUUUGUAAGUCUGACGUGAAAUCCCCGGGCUUAACCUGGGAAUUGCGUUGGAGACUGCAAGGCUGGAGUCUGGCAGAGGGGGGUAGAAUUCCACGUGUAGCAGUGAAAUGCGUAGAGAUCGGGAGGAACACCAGUGGCGAAGGCGGCCUUCUGGACCAAUACUGACGCUCAUGCACGAAAGCGUGGGGAGCAAACAGG
rnacentral:rRNA from 1 species